AUUGAACGCUGGCGGAAUGCUUUACACAUGCAAGUCGAACGGCAGCACGGACUUCGGUCUGGUGGCGAGUGGCGAACGGGUGAGUAACAUAUCGGAACGUAUCCAAUAAUGGGGGAUAACUAAUCGAAAGGUUGGCUAAUACCGCAUACGUCCUACGGGAGAAAGCUAGGGACCUUCGGUCCUGGCGUUAAUGGAGCGGCCGAUAUCUGAUUAGCUAGUUGGUGAGGUAAAGGCUCACCAAGGCGACGAUCAGUAGCUGGUCUGAGAGGACGACCAGCCACACUGGAACUGAGACACGGUCCAGACUCCUACGGGAGGCAGCAGUGGGGAAUUUUGGACAAUGGGGGAAACCCUGAUCCAGCCAUUCCGCGUGAGUGAAGAAGGCCUUCGGGUUGUAAAGCUCUUUCGCAAGGGAAGAAAACUUAGGCUCUAACAUAGCCUGAGGUUGACGGUACCUUGAUAAGAAGCACCGGCUAACUACGUGCCAGCCGCCGCCGUAA
rnacentral:rRNA from 1 species